UUUCAAUUCUUUAUAUAUAUGAUAACUAACGAGACAAGCUACGGUACUGUGAUGUAUAUCUUACUUUUAUUUUACAUGUACUUGAACAAAAUUUACAAUGUUAUGAAUCAUAUUACGACAUUGAGAACAUAUUUACCAAAUUUAUUUACACUAUUUACAUGAAGUUAAACAAAAUUACAACUAUGAGAACAAUUUGUUCAAAAAGUUGUAAAAUGGUUGUACAUUUUGUAAUUACAAUUAAUAGAACAAGAUUACAAAUAAUACGACUCAUGAUUAUCACUUUGACUACAUAUAUGUUGUCAUAUUUGUAAAUGUAGGUAUCACAUACGGGUAGGUACCAUAGAGUUUCCCAUAACUAAAUGUGGUAUUGCACUAGGAUAUGUAUGCUCACUCCCCACAUAGAAUUUUGCGUGAUAAGUGGCUGGUUCAGACCCUUAAAAAAAAAAAUUAGAUGUUGGGAGUCAAAAUCGUAAUGAUAGAUUGUCGUAGGGCUGGCAUUUUGUCCCGAUCCAACCGUACCAACCGAAAAACCAGCCGAACCACCGGAAUCGGUUACCGACUUGUCGGUACGGUUGUACCGUACUAUACGUAGUACGUGGUACGGUAACGGUAUGUAAUAUUAUACAAAUACGGUAUACCGUACCGUACCGACUUUUUUAUAAUUUUAAAAAUCAUCUAAUCUUAGCCGUUGAUUUCAAGAAGAAUGGAUCCUAACCGUUGAGAUCUAACCUAACACUCAGUCAGUCACUCACUCACUCUCUCCUCUCUGUCACUCGCUCAGGGGCUCGGGGCUCGGACGCUCGCGCUCUCCUUUCGCUCUCAAACAGUCAAACUCUCAUCUCUCAAUCUCCUAAAUCGAUUCCUAAUUCCCAAAUUGAUUCCCCACUCCUCACUCACUCACUUAGUCUGUCCUUUGAUUCGCUCCUCAUCGGCUCAUCGCAUCCCUCAAUCGGUCAAUCCCUCAUCCGGCUGAAUCGAAGCAAAUGGGUGGCCAAAGGAUUAGGAUGAGCAGCAACGUAAUUGGUAGGGGCGCAGGUCGUAGGGGAGCGCAAGGUAGGCAAGGGAUUGGGGCGCAAGCUAGUGAAGCUAGACAAGGUAUGGUUCCUGCCUUCCUCACUUCAUGGAUAAGUUAUUUGGUUGAAUAUGUUAUCUGGUUGUUGGAUGUUUGAUGUUCUUGGAUGUUAUUUAGUUCUUAGUUUGAAUAUGUUAUUUCACUUAUUUGUUCUUAGAUGUUUGAUAAGUUCUUAGUAAUCGAAUUUUAAGUUGGUGAUGUGAGUAGGAUGAUUAUGCUUUGAGCAACCAUAUCUUAUGAUUUAGACAUUCAUUUCAGAAUCUAUUUGCAUGUAUGGUUAAGCUUGUACUUUAGGCUUGGUAUCUGUGUAGUUUCAUGCAAUUUCAUUUAGAAUUCAUUGCUCAAGUGUUUGAGGCUGGAAACAGAGGUCUAUAUUAAUAAGUCAUUCUGAGUUUUGAACACAGCAGCCUUUUUCCUAAAAACUGUACAUUUCGGUUCAUUAUUUGGAAUUGGUGUCUGCAUGAAACUUGCAGUACACAUGUUAAAUAUCCUUCAAGAAUUUGAAUCUCCUGAAAAUGAGUUUUCUAGAUUAAAUUAUGAUUUUUUCAAAGUUAAGGUCUGCAUUCAGCAAAUCAGUUUUUUGAGUUUUGGAACCAGUCUUAUUGUUACUACAAAACUGUACAUUUAGGUUGAUUACUUGAAGUAGGUUUCUUCAUAAAAGUUGUAGCAGACAUCCUAAAGAUUAUUUCAGAAUUUGAAUCACUUAAAAAGGAUUUGUUUAGAUUAAUAUAUGACUUUUCAAAGUUGAGAGUCUGCAUCAAGAAAUUCUGCAAUUCAGUUUUCUGAGUUUUCAACCCAGUUGUCUAUUUACUAAACACUGUACACUUCGGUUAGGUAUUUGGAAG
rnacentral:lncRNA from 1 species